AUGCAUAUUUAAUCGACGAGUGGGCAGCGGUAAUUCAGAUUACAUGGCUCACCAAGUGGGCAAGCAAAGCAGCAGGAUGAGACACAGAGAGGAGAGGGCUGUUUCGCGGCAAGUUCGCUUUUGAUCAGCUGCGCUCGUCCUUCGUUGCUGCGCUGAGGCCUGGAAGAAGUGUACGUUGUUUGCUCGGCCGUUUUUUUUUUUUUUUGUUUUUUUUUAGGCUUGUAGUGUGAAAUCUGUUGGAUGUGGAGAGAGUUGAUUUAAGUAGGCCACAGCUAGGAAUUUGAACAUCAAGGAAGAAUGAAGAAAGUUUAGCUUUGUGUGCAUUUUUUUUUCGGCAUUUCAUGAUUUAUAUUUCAUGAGUGUGAACAGGCGGGUUGUACUGAAGGUGUUGCAGCCUCGCUCUCUCACUGUAAAGCCUCCAGGAGUCGGUGUGAUAGGCAGGCAGGGACGGUCCAGACAAAGACAGCACGUUUCACUCUGUCUGCAGCAGCCGAACGGUGCUGAGCACCACCUCCAGCUUCACCACCACCAUCAGCAGCAGUAGCAGGAGCAGCAGCAGCGGCAGCGGCAGAUCGGGGAGGGUUUUGGAGCACACUUGGAAGACCGACGGCGCAUAUGAACGCCGCAAGGCUCGAGACCGGUCCGUGAUGCUGCCCCGUGGCUGGGUGCUGGGCUCGGGGGCGGUGGAGGCUGUUGAAGGAGCGGAGGUGUCACUGAAGCGCUGUCCGAGGUGCUGAAACGCCGCCGCCGACAGACCGUCGGUCUCCCCUCCUUUUUUUUUUUCCAGUCGAGACGAUACGCACGAACUGACGUGAAUGCCGAGCAGCACACCGCGGCGCACCAGUUCGGCGGUUAACGCGGCACCCCCGGCCAGAGUAAAUGGGACCGCACGUCCUCCGAGCGUUAGAAACAUGGAUAGAAUUUUCCUGCUCGCCCUCAGCGCUCUCGGCGUCUCUCGAGUGACGGCGGAUAGCUUGUCACCUCCUGUCAAUGUGACCAUCAGAGAGGUGAAAGCGAACUCCGCUGUGGUGUCAUGGGACAUCCCCGAUGGAGACCCCGUUAUCGGCUUUGCCAUCACACAGCAGAAGAAAGACGUGCGCAUGCUGCGAUUCAUCCAGGAAGUCAACACCACCACACGCUCCUGUGCAUUAUGGGACUUGGAGGAAGAGACAGACUAUAUCGUGCAUGUUCAGUCCAUCAGCAUGUCUGGGACGAGCCCGCUGAGCGAACCGCUGCGCUUCCGCACGCCGAAGGAGGCCGAGACUCAGGCCUCUAAAAGUAAAGACGAAGUGACAAUGGAGGAGGUGGGCCAGAGCUCCCAGCUGAGGGCGGGGGAGCUCAUCAUCAUCGUGGUGGUACUCAUCAUGUGGGCAGGUGUGAUCGCUCUGUUCUGUCGCCAGUACGACAUAAUCAAAGACAACGAGCCCAACAACAACAAGGACAAAGCCAAAAACUCCUCCGAGUGCAGCACUCCGGAGCACCCGACUGGGGGUCUGUUGCGCAGUAAGGUAUAACCCAUCCGCCCCCACCCCCUCCUCUCCCCGGGUGCCUCCCCCUCGGCGGCAGUUCCCCAAGAACAACAACAACAGGAUGCCAUCUGUCAACAUCAUUGAGGUGUGACUGCCGCGGGACGUCUUCUCUUUAUCCAAAAGACUUUGUGUUCUCACAAGCGAGCGGGGGCCCCUUUGGAGCCCAUCUGCCUGUCGGGAUGAGGCUGGGACUCUGGGCCCCUCUGAGGCGCCCGUUCUCCUUUGGCAGAGGGCCCGGCGCUGGGACGAAAGCCGCCGGACCGCGGGGCCUGGCCCGACGCUGGUCUGAGAGCGGAGUCGGCAGCGCUAGAGACUGCGGUGAGAGUUGAGUGGCCGCUCAGAGCUCUGUGACUACUGCGCCGUGGGGCAGCAGGGAUUAGGAGCCAGAAAGGCUGCGGCGGCGGAGAGACUGCUGAUGAACCAACCCCAGGGACCAAAGCCCAUAAACAGAGCCAGAGACCUUCUCAUUCUGUCUCUCCCUCGCUGCGUCCAUCACCUCUUUUCUUCUCACAACACUGAACAGUGCAUUACGAGCGACCACUAACCUGGACCUUCAUCUUUUGUGACCGCAUGUCAAAAUUGUCCCUCUCUCACUUCAUCUACACCUUAUUUUAUCACGGGGCAGGGUGUCGUUUUUUACUUACAUUUUUAACAAGGUGCCGCAGAAACAGUUGCUGCUCCUCAGUUAGAAACUCUUUGCCGCUGUCCUGUGGGAAGUGUAUUCAUUUUAGUGAGCUCGUUCCCCCCCCCCCCCCCCCUCAGGGAAUCAGACACCACCUGGCUAAUUUCUAAAAUGCGCCGUGUUGCCGCCCCAGAAGCUUUAGAGGGAGCGCUCGGCUCCCCACACCAGAGCUGAGUCACCCAAACCUGUCAGAAACACAAAACCCGUUCAUUCAUCUUUGAUCCGGUCACACACACACAGUAAAGUUCUUUACAGGACUAGUUUGAUCAUCACGUUCACAUUUGUCUUCUUUCAUGUUUUUCCUUCUAGAUGUCUGAAAUGUUACAUUCCACGUCUGGGAUGAGCCCUUUAGUAUUCCCUUGUGUCUUUCUUUUUAAAGGUGAUGAAUUUCACAGCAUUCUGGAGGGGGAGCAGAACUGCCAUAACGGAGUGCAUUCAUCUAAUUAAUCAACUUUUUUCAAAGGGGCUGGACUCUACGAGGAGUGGACUUGCUUCUGCAGAGGCACUGAAGCGAUCCUUCAUAUCAGCAAUAACAGCCCUCGGUGGAAACGAUGGAAGCAAGGACUCGAACAAAAAAAAAAAAAAACCUCUUGGCAUGAAAUGUUCCAAACGAACCGCACAUCCAGUACAAAGGGGUUUACCCCUGCGCAUUAUUUUCAGACGAUCCCCAAAAAGCGCUGUUUCUGAUGGCUAGCAUGACAAAACUUUUUUUACGGGCCGUACAUGCAACCCUGAGACUUAUUUCUGACAUCCUGAACUGAUGUCACCGAGACAGAAGGGCUUCUACCCAGACUUUUUCACAAACCCCGAGACGAGAAUAUGUGUUAAGAUUCCACAUUAAACACACAUAAAGAAUCGCUUGUUGCCGCGUGGCACGUAGGGGAGCAAAGGAUGUAUCUGAGGGCUGAUCCAAACUCUGUAGUACUGCCUUAAAACGAAUUGUGAUGUAUCUGUUAACACGGAAGGCCCCUGUAUCUCACAUUUGUGCCAUAGCGUUUACCUUUCACCCAGUAUUUAAAUGUGCGCGCAAAGUAAAAGGAACCGAAUUGAUGCCAUGUAGAGCUGCGGUGAAGGUGCCCGAAGAUCUGUGAGGGACGGCUCGGCAUUCAGCGUGUAAAUACAUUUUAUAUUCCAUUCGCGUUUGGUGGUGUCGCUCUAGAGAGCCUUUUACACUCAAGACUAAUGUGGACACGUAGAGCUAAUGUCAGAGGGCGAUUAUGUUUUGGUAAUGCGCUGAAAGAGGCGUUUCAUAGCACUCCUCUGCUGUAUUUAUUAUAUUAUGUCAUUGUGCUUCUUGUGUGCAAAAACAGAAAGUAUUAAAAAAAAGAAAAAAAAUGAAUAAUCCCUGGAUAUUUUCAAUAAUCGUCAUAGUAGUGGAAAAUUGAACAGGCCGCAGGAAGCCUGUACUGACAGUCAGGAUCACACACCUCCUUAUUUUGAUAUACAAAGACUUGUCAUUUAGUGGAAACGCAGACAAAAACACAAAUAUCACAGGUCAACGGCUCCUCUGAGCAGAGAGCGGUGGAAGAGAGGGGCAGCAGAGAGUGUUGCAGGUUACGGUUGAGUGGAGUGGAUAGAAUAAUGACUAAUGCAGCGGCCCUUAUCGCUCCCCCACCUCCCCACUGCUCUCCGUCUACUUCCACGCUUUUCGCUCACUGCAUUCACGCCAGAGACCGGGGGCGGUUUAAAGUAAAGAGCGGCUAGCUGACUGAUUAGCACAUUUAGGUAAAACCUUGUUCUCCUGCGGAGUGAUCACCCUUUCACCAAAAAGUAAAAAGAAAGAAAAAAUCUAAGGGUUGAAUCCAUUUUUCCAAAAGAACGCCGCUCCAGUAGCAGAUUCUCCGAUCAAUAUACAUCCACACAGCAACGAAUAGCGAUGAUUGUUCCGCAAGAAUACAUUGUUUCUCAAGGUCGCCAGCAAUAUAUUUUUCAGCAGCAUUCCUUGUAGCCGUCACUUCACUUUCCUCCCGCUCUGCUGCAUAAAUGUGUAUAAAACUCUGCAGCAGCGCGCACUUGAACCUUAUUUGACUCUGUGUAGUGGGUAUUAUCACCUCCUCCGUGCUUUCACUGUAAAUAAUGUACUCCUUUACUAAUGACCGACGCGUAGGGCUAAUGCGAGACUUCUUUUUUUGUAGGCGAGGUGUUGUCCAACUUUACAGUUUAAAUGAAUAUUUAGACACUUUAAGAGAUUUAGUGAGGAUCAGCGCCGCUCUUAGGUUAGCGCAGUGAAUAAUGAAGGUAUAUGAGGCAGCUUUAGUUAGCAUAAAGUCUGCAGACGGAGCCUGAUGCCAUCUCAAGCAGCUUAUUCAUUCAGUGAAAACAAAAGCGUUCUUGUGUGACCGUCCUUCGCUGAAGCUUGGUAUGAUUUAAGCUGUAAGGUUAUUUAGCUUAAAACGAGGUUGAAAUAAAAGAAACAUGUGCCAGUAGAAUACAGUUCAGUAGUUCCACACACCACAGCCUUCGAAAUGAAGCAGCUUUCUCAGUUACUACAAUAUCAUCAUUAGAACACAUUCGUUUCCACUAGUGUCUCUAAUGAACUGGCAAGUCAAUGUUAAAGAUUUAAGUUUUGGUUAUUAGUCUUCUCAUAUAACGCGGUUAAGUAAGGCAUUAAAAGUGUUUCUGAAAAUGUCAGGCUGUUCCUCUAACGUGUGCAGCCUCAGCCGCGGAGCAGCAUGUCCUGAGUGAGCUCUCCCACACAGACACAGUGAGAAUCUAACAGCCUCAGUUUGAAGGUAAAAAAAAAAAGCUACAGGUCAUCAUUUGAUUUUACAUAAAAGUGAGUUUGAGAGCAUUAAACAGCCACACAGCAGUUUUGCAUGGCGCGUGAACCCGAGGAAGACGUGCGGUGGGUGUGUAGCGCGUUUCAUAUCCGGCAGUCUAGUGCAGCUCGGUGACACAUGCAUGGACUGUCCACACUGUUUCCAACCGAUCAGACGGACUCAGGCUGCUUUUAAGGACAUCCUGACACUGCUGCUGCUGCCGCCGCCGCUUCCGUUGUGGUUAGAGCAGGUCGAGUACACACCCGUCAAAGAUAGGUGAAAAAUCUUUUUCCUUAAUCGCACUUGACAAAUGGUGACGACUGUAAGAACUCAACAUUCCACUUGAGCCCUGUGCUGUCAGACCACUCUCCUACCAACCCGCAGAGGACUUUCUCUGGGCGUGACAGGACAUUUUCUCAUGCUACCGUGUGGACGACACAGCGCCUGAAAAAUAUGCUCUGUCGCAGAAACGGACUAUUAUUUAGUGGCGAAAAACACUGGAUUUUUCAACAACUUACACAAUGUGUAUUUUGUAUUAGUUUAGAAAACAAAUGCCUGGAAACCCAACAUUGUGAUAACACACAGAGAGUUUGACUGUUUUCAUUUGGGACUUGUUGAAAAUAUAGGAAUGAGACGAAGCAUGGUUUAGAAAAAUGAAGCUUUAUUAGUGCUAUCAUGUUUAUAUUCAUUGUAUGGAGUGUACAGCAGUCAUUGCUUAAUGAGGGCUAGCAUGGUUUAACUAUUAUGCACAGGGUUACACAACUUCAAUUAUGGAGAACAUGGUGUAUGCUUACUUGUGUAUGCUUAAAUAAAAUAAAACUAUAUAAUAUUU